rnacentral:lncRNA from 1 species
CGCCCCUGACCCCGCCCCUCCGCAGGUGAGCUGCGGCACAUCCGGCACCUGCGGCCCUGGGGGCUGCGGGCGGUGCUGCAGGAGAAGUACGAGUGGCCACGGGGGCCAGCGGCCGCCUUCGCCCGCUUCCUGCGGCCCAUGCUGGCCUUCGAGCCCGCCCGCAGGGCCACGGCCCGACAGUGCCUGCAGCACCCCUGGCUCCGCCCCUAGCCACGCCCCCAGCCCCGCCCCCCACCUCAAUAAACCACGGGUGGGAUUGGUGCUCCUGGGGUCUUUAUUGGGGGUACUGGUGGUCCUGGGGUGUUCAUUGGGGGGUACUGGUGGUCCUGGGGAGGUUUAUUGGGGUCCUGGUGUGUCCCUGGGGAGUACUGGUGGUCCUGGGGUCUUGACUGGGAUUGUUUGGAGGGGUACUGGUGGUCCUGGGGGGGGUCUGUGGGGUUCCUGGUGGUCAUGGGGUCUUUACUGGGAGGCACUGGUGGUCCUGGAGUGUCUAUUGAGUCCUGGUGGUCCUGGGGUCUUGAUUGGGGUUGUUUGGGGGGCUCUUGGUGGUCCUGGGGUGUUCACUGGGGGGUCCUGGUGGUCCUGUGCAGGGUUUGGGGGGGGUCCUGAAGGUGUUCUGGGGGUCCCAGGGGUGUCAGGUGUGGUCC